AGAGCGAACGCUGGCGGCAGGCCCAAAACAUGCAAGUCGAACGGAUCCUUCGGGAUUAGUGGCGGACGGGUGAGUAACACGUAGGAACGUGCCUUUUGGUUCGGAACAACUCAGGGAAACUUGAGCUAAUACCGAAUGUGCCCUUCGGGGGAAAGAUUUAUCGCCAUUAGAGCGGCCCGCGUCUGAUUAGCUAGUUGGUAGGGUAAAGGCCUACCAAGGCUACGAUCAGUAGCUGGUCUGAGAGGAUGAUCAGCCACACUGGGACUGAGACACUGCCCAGACUCCUACGGGGGGCUGCAGUAACGAAUCUCGCAAUGCACGAAAGUGUGACGGAGCGACGCCGCGUGUGGGACGAAGCCCCCUCGGGGUGUAAACCACUGUCAGGGGAUAGAAAGUUCUGAUCAUCCCCAGAGGAAGGCACGGCUAACUCUGUGCCAGCAGCCGC
rnacentral:rRNA from 1 species